GACGAACCGUGCGAACGUUAUUCGGAAUCAUUGGGCUUAAAGGGCGCGUAGGCGGCGGUGUAAGUUGGAAGUGAAAUCCCAUCGGCUCAACCGUGGAAUUGCUCCCAGUACUGCACUGCUCGAGGGGGAUAGGGGUCUGCGGAACUACCCGGUGGAGCGGUGAAAUGUGUUGAUAUCGGUGGGAACGCCAGUGGCGAAAGCGGCAGACUUGACCCGUUCCUGACGCUGCAGCGCGAAGCUAGGGAGC
rnacentral:rRNA from 1 species